ACAUCGCGUCGCCACACCUCGACUCUCCUCCGCUCUUCCCCGCUCUCCCCAUCUGACCCCCUCCUGCCUACUGCCCCCUCUCUCCUCGUCCGCUGUGCUGCGUCGUCUGGGCCCCACCCCACCCCUGCCGUUGCCUCUCCCGUCUGUCUCGGCGCCGGCCUUCUCAGUGUUUCGCUCUUGUGCGUUGUCGCCCAUGGCGUACAAUAUCACCGUCAUUGUCUACGUGGUCGUGCAGUUCGUGGCGUUUCUUCUGGUGCUGGCAGGAACGCCCCUGGACAUCUUUCGCGGUGUGGCUCCGGAGAUUUUGGGGCACCGUAUGGUUUGCAUCACACUGUUUGGUAUGAAAGUGGACUGCUACAAUAAGACGUAUUUAGAAACAACUGAGGAGUUGUGGGCGGAGUGUUUUAACCGCCUGAACCGCUUCCACGCUGCACAGGCGUUCGCUAUCAUUUCCAUCCUUGUAUACUUUGCGGCAUUCGCGUUUGGGUUGCUUCUGCUCUUCUGCUGCCCCUGCUUGCGUUGGGUCUGCCUGGCACUCAACGUUGCUGGCAUCCUCACCUUGUGCGUUGUGUGGGCGGCCAUGGUGGUGACGUACUAUACAGAUGAUAGCGCAGACUGCGUAAAGGCCAAAGACGAAUUCACCUUCGGUAUCGGCUUUGACCUCUUGAUGACGGCUUGGUGCCUGGAUAUCAUCGCUGCGAUUUUGAUGCUCUUGUACGCGGUGAAUUAUUCUCGGAUGAACGAAAACGAGGCACUGCAACAAGGAAAACAAUAGAACUGGAGAUACGAGGAACGAGCGGAGGGCGGGCUUGAGAGCGGCGCGGCCCCUCCCCACACCGGCGUCCUCGUGGUGGAGCCGGUGUCGGCGAGGAUGAGGGUGCACAAGCUGCGGGUUCCCGUGUGUGCCCUUCGCCGGCCCAGCCCUCUCGCUCCCUGUCGUGUGUGCGUGCGCGUGCGCGGGCAGCAGCGGCACCGCCGUGCACAGGCACCGCUGCCGAGGGGCGAUUGCAGCACUUCCCCCACGCCUGCGUGUGAUACACGGCGGCUGCGUGUGUGCAGGCGCAUGCGCCCCUGUGCCCCUCCUCCCCCUUGUUCCGUGAGCGGCCCCCGCGGCCCUCCCUCCCUAACGCUGCCGUUGUUCGCGGGUGCCGCCCCACGCUCUCGCCUUAUUCGACGCUCGUCUCUUUCGAG
rnacentral:misc_RNA from 1 species